GAUGAAGAACGUAGCGAAAUGCGAUAAGUAAUGUGAAUUGCAGAAUUCAGUGAAUCAUCGAAUCUUUGAACGCACAUUGCGCCCGCCAGUAUUCUGGCGAGCAUGCCUGUCUGAGCGUCAUUUCAACCCUCAUGCCCCUAGGGCGUGGUGUUGGGGAUCGGCCAAAGCCCGCGAGGGACGGCCGGCCCCUAAAUCUAGUGGCGGACCCGUCGUGGCCUCCUCUGCGAAGUAGUGAUAUUCCGCAUCGGAGAGCGAUGAGCCCCUGCCGUUAAACCCCCAACUUUCCAAGGUUGACCUCAGAUCAGGUAGGAAUACCCGCUGAACUUAAGCAUAUCAAUAAGCGGAGGA
rnacentral:misc_RNA from 1 species